rnacentral:rRNA from 1 species
ACAGCAGUAGCCACGGUAAUACGGAGGGGGCUAGCGUUGUUCGGAAUUACUGGGCGUAAAGCGUACGUAGGCGGCUUUGUAAGUUAGAGGUGGAAGCCUGGUGCUCAACACCAGAACUGCCUUUAAGACUGCGUCGCUUGAACGUCGGAGAGGUGAGUGGAAUUCCGAGUGUAGAGGUGAAAUUCGUAGAUAUUCGGAAGAACACCAGUGGCGAAGGCGGCUCACUGGACGAUUGUUGACGCUGAGGUACGAAAGCGUGGGGAGCAAACAGGAUUAGAUACCCGAGUAGUCCCUGUCUCUUAUAC